GAUGAACGCUGACAGAAUGCUUAACACAUGCAAGUCGAUGGGGAAGUGGUGCUUGCACCUUGGUAACCAUGGCGGACGGGUGAGUAACGCGUAAGGAACUUACCUGCGGUACCGGGAUAACAGCAGGAAACUGCUUUCAUGCCCGGAUAAGGUCAUUAAGCUGCAUAGCUUAGUGAUGAAAGGAGACGCCUGCGGAGAGCCUUGCGUCCUAUUAGCUAGUUGGAGGGGUAACGGCCCACCAAGGCGAGGAUAGGUAGCCGGCCUGAGAGGGUGGACGGCCACAAGGGGACUGAGAUACGGCACUUACUCCUACGGGAGGAAGCAGUGGGGAAUAUUGGACAAAGGGGGCAAGCCUGAUCCAGGAAUUCUGUGUGCACGAAGACGGUUUUCGGAUAGAAAAGUGCUUUCAGCAGGGAAGAAGGAAGUGACGGUACCGGCAGAAGAAGCGACGGCUAAAUACGUG
rnacentral:rRNA from 1 species